rnacentral:tRNA from 1 species
GCGCAAGUGGCGAAAUCGGCAGACGCGCUAGCUUCAGGAGCUAGUGAGGUAACACUCGUGGAGGUUCAAAUCCUCUCUUGCGCA